AGUACAUAAAAUCUAAGCAAACAAACAAAGCCCUCCUCCAAAAAAAAGAAAGAAAAGAAUUAUUAACACCAGGGAAAACAAAAAGUUGUGCUGGAAAGAAAAGGUCUCCCUCACAAAUAUUGAGCCUAUUGGUCAACAAGGGCUCCGGGCCCACCACCAGAUGCGUGGCAGGAGACACAGAAGUGACAUUCAAGAAAUAGUUCCUUAUUAACCAAGUUCUGGAUACUGGGAAGUCCAAGGUUGAGAGACGGUAUCUGGUGAGAGCCUUCUUGCUGGUGCUGCCAUGUCAUAAGGACACUCAACCCUGUGAAGAGUCCCACAUAGAGGAGGAACUGAGGCCUCCCACCAACAACCAACACCAACUUGCCAGCCAUUUGAGUACACCAUCUUGGAAGAGGACCCUCCAGCCCCAAUAAAGCCUUAAGAUGACUGAAGACUGGCUAACAUCUAUUUAAAAAUUAUUAUUUAUUUUUUUAAUAGAGAUGGGGUCUCGCUAUGUUGCCCAAGCUGGUCUCAAACUCCUAGGCUUGACCAAUCCUCCUGCCUCAGCCUCCCAAAGUGCUGGGACUAGAGGCAUGAGCCUCCAUGCCCAGCCCUGACUAACAUCUUGACUUCACCACAAGAGACCCCAAGCCUGAACACUGUUAAUGUGAUCCCAAAUCUCUGAAGUACAAAAAUUGUUAGAGAUAAUAAAUGUUGAUUGAUGUUUUAAGCCAAUAAAUUUGGGGAUAAUUUGUUACACUGCAAUAGAUUAGUAGUUCAGAAGGCUUCUUCUGCCAGUGUGACAAAUCCAAAUGCUUUCUUUGGGCACUCGAGGUUGUCCAAUAACUGCUCUUACUUUAUCUUUGGGUACAGAAACACCAUCUGAGCCAGUUAUUUCACUGACCUCACACGACAUGUGAAACUCUGCCUCUACUUUAGCCCAUGCCAUUGUCACACAGAAUGUCCUUUUUGGUCCU